GACGAACGCUGGCGGCGUGCUUAACACAUGCAAGUCGAACGGACAGACAGAGAGCUUGCUCUCUUGAAGUUAGUGGCGAACGGGUGAGUAACGCGUAAUCAACCUGCCCUUCAGAGGGGGAUAACAACGGGAAACCGUUGCUAAUACCGCGUACGAUUCAUGAACGGCAUCGUUUAUGAAUGAAAGGUGGCCUCUAUGUAUAAGCUAUCGCUGAAGGAGGGGAUUGCGUCUGAUUAGCUAGUUGGAGGGGUAACGGCCAACCAAGGCAAUGAUCAGUAGCCGGGCUGGAAGGAUGAACGGCCACAUUGGGGCUGAGACACGGCCCAAACGCCUACGGGAGGCAGCAGUGGGGAAUCUUCCGCAAUGGACGAAAGUCUGACGGAGCAACGCCGCGUGAGUGAUGAAGGUCUUCGGAUUGUAAAGCUCUGUUAAUCGGGACGAAAGAGUUCUGCGUAAAUAAUGCAGAAAAGUGACGGUACCGGAAUAGAAAGCCACGGCUAACUACGUGCCAGCCGCCGCGGUAA
rnacentral:rRNA from 1 species